UGCAAGUCGAGCGGUAACAGGAAAGAAGCUUGCUUCUUUUGCUGACGAGCGGCGGACGGGUGAGUAAUGCCUGGGAACAUGCCUUAGUGUGGGGGAUAACCAUUGGAAACGAUGGCUAAUACCGCAUAACGUCUACGGACCAAAGAGGGGGCUUCUCUUUUCUUCGGAAUAGGGGACCUCUCGCGCUAAGAUUGGCCCAGGUGGGAUUAGCUAGUAGGUGGGGUAACGGCUCACCUAGGCGACGAUCCCUAGCUGGUCUGAGAGGAUGAUCAGCCACACUGGAACUGAGACACGGUCCAGACUCCUACGGGAGGCAGCAGUGGGGAAUAUUGCACAAUGGGGGAAACCCUGAUGCAGCCAUGCCGCGUGUGUGAAGAAGGCCUUCGGGUUGUAAAGCACUUUCAGUUGUGAGGAAGGUUCAUGCGUUAAUAGCGUAUGGAUUUGACGUUAGCAACAGAAGAAGCACCGGCUAACUCCGUGCCAGCAGCCGCGGUAAUACGGAGGGUGCGAGCGUUAAUCGGAAUUACUGGGCGUAAAGCGCAUGCAGGCGGCUUGUUAAGCCAGAUGUGAAAGCCCGGGGCUUAACCUCGGAAUAGCAUUUGGAACUGGCAGGCUAGAGUCUUGUAGAGGGGGGUAGAAUUUCAGGUGUAGCGGGUGAAAUGCGUAGAGAUCUGAAGGAAUACCGGUGGCGAAGGCGG
rnacentral:rRNA from 1 species